rnacentral:rRNA from 1 species
AUUAGUAUAAGUUAUGUUCUUUAAAAUUAAAAAAUUUGGCGGUAUUUUAAUUUUUUUAGAGGAACUUGUUCUGUAAUUGAUAAUCCACGAUUUAAAUUACUUUUUUUUUAAAUUUAUAUAUCGUUGUUGUAAAAAUUUUUUUAAAAUAUAAAUUUUUGAUAGAUUAAAUUAAAUUAAAGUUCAAAUCAAGAUGUAGUUAAUGGAAAAGUAGAGAUGAGUUACAAUAAUUUAUAUAAAAGGAUAUUUAUUAGAAUAGUAAAUUGAAUUUGGAUUUAAAAGUAAAAUAAUUAAUUAGAUUAUUUGAGUAAUUUUUAAAAUAUGUACACAUC